rnacentral:rRNA from 1 species
UACGGAGGGUGCGAGCGUUUGUCCGGAUUUAUUGGGUUUAAAGGGUGCGUAGGUGGGUUAAUAAGUCAGUGGUGAAAUACGGUUGCUCAACAAUCGAGGUGCCAUUGAUACUGUUAAUCUUGAAACAAGUGGAGGUUGCCGGAAUGGAUGGUGUAGCGGUGAAAUGCAUAGAUAUCAUCCAGAACACCGAUUGCGAAGGCAGGUGACUACGUUUGAUUUGACACUGAGGCACGAAAGCAUGGGGAGCAAACAGG